GAUGAACGCUGGCGGCGUGCCUAAUACAUGCCAGUCGAGCGAACUGACGAGGAGCUUGCUCCUCUGACGUUAGCGGCGGACGGGUGAGUAACACGUAGAUAACCUACCUAUAAGACUGGGAUAACUUCGGGAAACCGGAGCUAAUACCGGAUAAUAUUUUGAACCGCAUGGUUCAAUAGUGAAAGACGGUUUUGCUGUCACUUAUAGAUGGAUCCGCGCCGCAUUAGCUAGUUGGUAAGGUAACGGCUUACCAAGGCAACGAUGCGUAGCCGACCUGAGAGGGUGAUCGGCCACACUGGAACUGAGACACGGUCCAGACUCCUACGGGAGGCAGCAGUAGGGAAUCUUCCGCAAUGGGCGAAAGCCUGACGGAGCAACGCCGCGUGAGUGAUGAAGGUCUUCGGAUCGUAAAACUCUGUUAUUAGGGAAGAACAAAUGUGUAAGUAACUAUGCACGUCUUGACGGUACCUAAUCAGAAAGCCACGGCUAACUACGUG
rnacentral:rRNA from 1 species